GACGAACGCUGGCGGCGUGCUUAACACAUGCAAGUCGAACGGAAAGGCCCUGCUUUUGUGGGGUGCUCGAGUGGCGAACGGGUGAGUAACACGUGAGUAACCUGCCCUUGACUUUGGGAUAACUUCAGGAAACUGGGGCUAAUACCGGAUAGGAGCUCCUGCUGCAUGGUGGGGGUUGGAAAGUUUCGGCGGUUGGGGAUGGACUCGCGGCUUAUCAGCUUGUUGGUGGGGUAGUGGCUUACCAAGGCUUUGACGGGUAGCCGGCCUGAGAGGGUGACCGGCGACCUUGGGACUGAGAUACGGCCCAGACGCCUACGGGAGGCAGCAGUGGGGAAUAUUGCGGAAUGGGCGGAAGCCUGAUGCAGCAGCGCCGCGUGCGGGAUGACGGCCUUCGGGUUGUAAACCGCUUUCGCCUGUGACGAAGCGUGAGUGACGGUAAUGGGUAAAGAAGCACCGGCUAACUACGUG
rnacentral:rRNA from 1 species